AAUUUUCAUGGAGAGCUUUAAGUUUUUCUUUUUGCAUGUUAUCCUCAUGGUUGUACUCUCCAGGGGGCUUGUUCCUUCGGUAAUUAUCUUUAAUGACGGUAUUUCCAUAUUGACGCGAGGUGGGUGGGGUGUUGAAGAGAGAGGGAGACUCGAGACGGUGCAUUGACUCUGGAUUACAUUAGAGGGGUUAGAUGGAUGAGUGUUAGUUACAUCCCAAUCAGAACAUUUGCACCACUAGGUUUCACCAAAUGCCAAUCAUACUGGACUGAGCUCCUCUGCUCCUCUCCCUGAAACAUUAACAAAAAGUCAUUAACAAAAAGCCUUCCUGUUCUGAAGGCAAAUAUCUAUCUAUCUAUCUCAUCAGUCUUAGGGCUGGAAGAGAUGCAGCUCUGGGCUGGCUCUGAUGCGGACUUGUCACAAAGGCUUGGCUCUGCCCACGUGACCGUAUCCUUGGAAGAAAAAAAAAAUGGGGAUGCACAAAGUGACCAGCACAGGGUAUUCGUGAUGACCGGGGAACAGAGAUUGAGAAAGCAAGAGCCUUCCUGGCAAAUCUGGGUUCAGACGCGGCAGAGACAGCUGUUUCCAGCCACUGCUAUGAACCCAUCUAAGUGAAAUUGUGAGGACUAAGGAGAGAGGCACCCAUGACUGCCUUAAUCCACUCCUACCCAUCGUCUCUUCACCCAUCCACCCAUCCUUGCUGCAGACCUUUACUGGGCACCUGUGCCAGGAGACCAUCACUGCCCAUCAGAAGCUCAUACAGGGAGAAGCAGUGGCCACAGCAGAAGGCGUCCCGGGUCCUAGAGAGCACCUGGAGAACAAGGGAGAGCUGCAGAAACCGCCCUGUCUGCAUGUGUGCCCUCAUGUUCUUGGGUGCAUGUCUGUGUUUGUGUGUGUGUUUGCUUAUGUGCAUGUGCAGUGUGUGUGUGUUCGAGACAGAGCGAGACUGAGAGUGCAAGUGGGUGUAAGCACACACACCCACCCGUCAGCCCUGCCUGUCUGCUCAGAGUUUUGCCUGUCACCCGGCCACGCCCUGUGACCCCCCUCCUCGGCUGGGUGCAGCCAGGACACCUGUUGCCAGCUGCGAGCACCUGCCUGGUUGCUGCGCCCGUGUCCUGUGCAUGUUCCAAGCCAGCCCCCUGGGGUAAUCCAGGCCAUGACUCAGGAACGUCAUGUUGGGACACCCGAGACCCCCAGCCCCUGCCCUAGGGGUCAGGGCAGCAGGUCCCAUCUCCCUUAGCUGGGCUGGGCCCAGGCAGCCUGUAUCACUGUUUGCUCCAGAGGCUGGGUGCGUCCUGCUUGGGGGCUGUGUGAGGCCCGCUUGUUUUCACCCACAGAUUCCCAGGGUUCUCAAGGCAGAGGAAAGCGACAAUUAGGGCAACACCCAUGUUGGUUGGAUCAGAGUGAAUCCCAGGCCUGCUUGGGAGGCUUUAGGCACUCAGCUCGGCCAUCUCUGAGGGUUGAAUUUCUUGGCCAGCAUCCCAUAGCCAGGCCAGAGCGGAGCAGGGCUGCCUGCUGCACCCAGUGGCUUCUUGUCAAUCUCGGCCUCUCGUUCCCUGCCUGGGAGAGGGUCUCAGUGUGAAGGGCAGAGGGGUCUUCUGGAACCAGCCAGUGCUGUGUCGGAGAGAAAGACCAGGAGGAAAUUGGAGGGGUACAGGCCUGAAACUCUCCCGCUGCCUUGCCAGGCACCCAAACCUGCUUGACCUGAGUGUCUUUCCGGCGGCGGGUGGGGGGGAGGGGGGUGGGGCGUGCUGCAUCGCUUACUUUGCCUGUGUCUUAGGGGAGCCUACCCAUUGCCCUCCAGCACCGGCGAACAAAGACCCCCACGGUGGCCAGGCCUGUGCGGGGUGUAAACAGUGUCCCAGGGUGUCUUGGUGUCCUCACUACUACAUCCUCCACGUUCCAGAGGAGAAACUGAGGCCCGAGGACACCCAGAAUUUCCCAGGGUCACACCAAGGGGAAACAGGAAGCAGAAGUUUGCUUGGUAAACAUGGAAUCGGAACAUGGGAAUUGGGCCACUGGGAUAUUCAAUUGCGUCAGACCAUUGUAGCUGAUACUCCUGGACAGAGGGGCUUUGCCAACUGGACAGAUAUAUGAAGUGUUGCUGACCGAGCUCCUUGCUCUGUGUGGGAGGGAUCUUGCCAGCUCCAGCCUUGGUGGGUCUCCUUUUUCUGUUUCCAAGCUUAAAUAAGCACUUGGCUGUUCUGAUUAGCACUUUUAAAAGCUGUGUUAAUAAGUUCAAUUAAAAUAGAAGAAUCUCUCAUUCUGUCAUAUCGGGUUUUUUUAAUUGCAAACCAAUAAAACUUAAAUGAACUUGAGCAAAA
rnacentral:lncRNA from 10 species